rnacentral:lncRNA from 1 species
UCCUGACCUCCCGUUUUUUUUUUUGUGCCCAGCCAGACUGCGGCACUCUUAGAACUGCUUUCAUAGUGUCCCAGAGAUAGUCUCAGGUUAGUCAGAGUGAACCUUAAAGGGAGGGAGCAGCACUCCAACACCCUCAGGUGAAGGGCAUCCCUCCCUACCUGCAGCAGGAGUGGGGCGGCUGGAAGUGCAGCCGGUUAAGCUGGGCAGGCUUCCGGUCACGGAGCAGCCUCAAUUGCUAACCUUUUGUGGACUUUAAAGGUGAUUUAAGAUCUUCAAAAGCUAGAGUCCAGGUCAAAAGCCCAACACUGUAGCUGUUGCAGGUGGACGGAGCUCUCUUAUUAUCAAGGACCACCCAGGGCGGCGCAUCCCUGGCGCUGAGGCCCAGAACCGAGAGCCUGACCACCCGCUCCUGUCCCUGCGCACCUCGGCCUGCGCAGACCCCUGGUGGGCGACGUUGGGUUAGAUGAUGCCGGAGGCCCCACGAGGCUACUGCAGCACCGGCCACACUCCACUGGGCUCUUGGCCGCCAUUUGUGCCUCCCGGACCAGGCGACCGGGCAGGCACAGCUGCCGCUUCUGCAGCUGCAGCCAUCAACCCACCAAAUGGCUUCCCUUGCAACCAUGCGCCUUGGCCCUGGGUAGUGAGAGACCUACCACGGCAGUCGCUUCUGGCCUCGCUGCCCUCAACACACCGCAGGGUGUUGAGGCCUGCAGCCACCUUCCUGCGCUUGCGCCCUUGGUAGUGAGAGACCACUGUUCUGGGCAGGCAGCGGAGGGUCCUCGCAGCUCCCUCCUCAAGGAAACAGAGGAGAGCUGCACCAACUAUGCUUGUUCACCUUGAGCGUCUGGCAACAGAGCUCGCUCAAGGAUGGAAUUGCCCAUUUUUGCACCGGCUAAUAAAAACAACUCCUCACGCCCUAUUGUGAUGUAAACUAAUCAAUAAAAUCAGUAAGAGUGUAAGUUAUAGGUUAUAGAUUAGUAAAAAAUAUAGAUUAUUAAAUGAUAAGUGAGAUAAGACAAUUACAAAGCAAGAACUGUCAUAGGCCUAAGACUCCAUUUUUCUUCCUUCUAUAUAAAAAAAAAGAGAACAACAACAACAACAACAAAACUGUUACCAGAGCUGUUUCUGAGACUGAAAUGAAAGCUGUUCUUAUAAAAAUUGUUUUUCUGUACCCACACAUUGUACCCCCCUCAGGAUGCAGCGGGGGUCGUGGGAGCUGCAUCCUGGGUGGGUGCCCUUGAGGGUCUCUAUGACUUAGACAUAGACUUUCG